rnacentral:rRNA from 1 species
GGGUCAGUAGGUUGGUCGUGCCACCGGUACGUACUGGUCUCACUGAUUCCUCCUUCCUGAAGAACCGUAAUGCCAUUAAUUUGGUGUUGCGGGGAAACAGGACUGUUACUUUGAAAAAAUUAGAGUGUUUAAAGCGGGCAUUUGCUUGAAUACAUUAGCAUGGAAUAAUGAAAUAGGACGGACGGUUCUAUUUUGUUGGUUAUGGGACCACCGUA